rnacentral:rRNA from 1 species
GACGAACGCUGGCGGCGUGCUUAACACAUGCAAGUCGAACGGAAAGGCCCUGCUUGCAGGGUACUCGAGUGGCGAACGGGUGAGUAACACGUGGGUGAUCUGCCCUGCACUUCGGGAUAAGCCUGGGCAACUGGGUCUAAUACCGGCUAGGAGCCAUUUUUAGUGUGAUGGUUGGAAAGUUUUUUCGGUGUAGGAUGAGCUCGCGGCCUAUCAGCUUGUUGGUGGGGUAAUGGCCUACCAAGGCGGCGACGGGUAGCCGGCCUGAGAGGGUGGACGGCCACAUUGGGACUGAGAUACGGCCCAGACGCCGACGGGAGGCAGCAGUGGGGAAGAUUGCACAAUGGGCGCAAGCCUGAUGCAGCGACGCCGCGUGGGGGAUGACGGCCUUCGGGUUGAAAACUCCUUUCGCUAGGGACGAAGCUUUUUGUGACGGUACCUAGAUAAGAAGCACCGGCUAACUACGUG